rnacentral:lncRNA from 1 species
CAACACCAAAACUUUAGAUGAUGUCAAAUGCGGUGUAAGCUACAACACAUGUGAAUGCGAACAUGAAAAGAAUCAGAGUUAAUUUACAUUAAAGGUUAACAUAUUACAUUUUUAUAUAAAAAAAACCUGUUUCUAAGCUUUUAAAUUAUUUCUAUCUCAACCAUUUAUCUUUUCCAGUGAUGAAGAUAAGGUUUCAUUCAAAUCAAAAGUGGUGCUGUCAAAAAAAUAUUGAAUUCAAAUGGUUUACCCAUAGGCAUAGCUGGCAAGUGUCUAGUGUAACUAAAAUAUUUUCCAAGUCCCACCAUCAUGCGAAUGAAACCUUGUGAGUUGGACAUUAUCGGUCACACACUCUCCACAAGUGAGAGUAUGCCUAUAAUCAGUGUACCCAUAGGGCUCUGGUCAAAAGCAGGGCACUAAGGGGAAUUGGGUGCCAUUUUGGACUCAUUCCCAGACUCUUCUAAUUUAAACCUAUCACUCUCAAGACACUUUAAAAGCUGUAUCCUAUGGGUUAAUAGUUAUGCUGAAACAACACUGUGUGUCAUUUCAGACAAGCUGGUGCAAUGGCUCUUCAAAUGGAAAAAGGCAUGAACAGGUUGGUUCUCUGAAUGGACACAUCCCCAGAGCAGGGAAACAGAGCACACCUAACCAGCCUGAGAGGAUGUUGUCACAGGGGGUAUUUGGAAGCCCAGUAGUCUCUGUAGGCAGAGUCAUUUCCCUGAUAUGUAGAACCCAUAGCACCAGGCCAUGCAACCUGCCUCAACUAACACCCGUACCCUGUCAUAACACACACCUUGCCCUGCCACAACAGGGAAAAUGAAGUGUCAUCAAGGACAGACACUCUGAAGAGUUUUGUGAUUAUUGCAUCAUUGGUCCAGAAGCUAUGGCAAAAUCAUUAUACAUGAUUUACUGGACAUGUGUAGGCUAUACCUUAUCUAAAAUAUAUCUCUCUUUUUUUUAAAGACAACUUUAUUACGGCAGGGUAACAAGUCCUAUGAAGGAAUUCAUUAUAAAAGUGUAUUGCAACAGACAACCUCUUGCCAGACAAAUUAUUUCACAAGCAUCACUGGAACAAAUACUGUUAUGAAUCCACAGCCUGUGACCAUUUACAUGAGCUGUUUGUGGUGUGGUGUGGUGUGUUACUUUCCACUGUGUAAUAUCUUUCUGACAACUGCUGCUCUACUUUACCUUCAACUGAGUGGGUCAUGAGUCAUACCUUUAUUUUGUUCCUGUGAUCUUCAUUGCAAUUUCCUUGAACAUUUCCACAGAAGUCACAGCUUUAGAACAAAAAGGAAGUUAAGCAGUUGAACUGUAAUCAUGACAUUUUACUAGAAGAUCGUUAUACUAAU